rnacentral:misc_RNA from 1 species
GAAGAGAUGCAACUGUCGUUCCGGUUGUGGCAAUAGCAAACUGUGUGAUGGCUGUAAUGAUGGGUGGCGGGGACAAAACUGUGAAUUGCAAUGCUCUGAAAACUGUCUCAGAUGUCAACAGGAACGUGGAAACUGCACAGCAUGUCGCCAAGGGUUCGAGUAUGAUGGACGAAGUCAAUGCACGCCUAUGAUCCAUGUCACUACCAGCGAGUUCCCGAUUCCAGAGCAAGGUUCCAAAGUUCCUGGUGUGAUUAUUCCCAUCAUAGUUGCUCUCAUCAUAGUUGCAGCAGUCUUUAUUGGGAUCUAUAUCAGCAGAGGAAAGCGUGGUCAGGCGACUUGCUGGGACAAGUGGAUGCAUAGAUGGAAACAGCAAAAUGAUGUCCAAAAAUGCAUGUUGGGGGACCAGUAAGAAUUACGGAUGCACAGAUCUUGCAGUACAGAAGAAUGAUUCCAAAUCCGCCAUCUCUGAGCAAACAUCCAAGUCCAUACAGACCACAACAAGUUUUGCAUCCAAACAAUUUCGACCAGAAAGCAUACCAGCCAAGGAAACUCCUCAAAGCCAUCAACAUCAAAAGACUCCAACCUGCCACCAACAGAAUCGUGGUUAUUACCUUCCAAUGUACCCACCUUCAUACCUUCCACUAUAGUACAUAAAUACAUUAUAUGUACUCUCCAAAUAUGUAGGGGAACUUCAUUUAUAAUUGAGUCAAUCAAUGUUGAUAUGAUAAUAAUGAAUGUUUUGAGAGUG